rnacentral:lncRNA from 1 species
ACAACCUAUAAUCUUUUAAUCUUGGCCCUCUAUUUGAACUUAAUCCUAUGGCCAAUAUUAAUUUCCCAAUAAAAAAACAAAAAUGAAUAAAACCCUAGAAAGACCUAAUGUUAGAUGACUCCGAUGGCUGCCCUUCUUCAGCUCUAACCUUACACAACAAUGGAGACUACAACAAAAAGCCCUAGCUACUUAAUCUCUUUCUUCACAAGACAAGAAUCCUAGGAACCAAAAAACCCUUCACCACCCCCAAGCAGUCGCAACUGCUCACCGCUGCUUCACCUUCGACCCCGGCGACCACUCUCUUCGGCCAUACGCCGAACGACCACACCCCUGCCAAUCGUUUCCACCCUUCUUCUUCACACCCUAAUAUCCCAACUUCCCUUCCCCCAAAAAUGACCACCCACGCCGCACAUCACCAAAAGGAAAUCAGCUGAACUUGUACAAAAAGGGACGAGGAACACACGCACACAUAUCGGAGGGGAGGGAACAUACAACGAGAAUUUCCUAGCCACCCUUCCAACUACUUCAGAAUUUUGGACCUCUAAUCUCUGUCAUUCUCUAACUUCUUCUGUUCCACAACCAAAAAAUGAGAGUGAUAGAGGGGGGACGAUUUUCAAUCCAAGUAACAAAAGCAAACAGAGUGUGGAUGUAUAUUUCGGACAGAGUUUUGAAGGAAAAGGGAUUCUUCAAUUACUUAUUCGGUUUUGUUUUCUCAAAAUACUAGAAAAUCAAAUAAAAAAUAGGUCUCAAUCGUCUUCUUUCUGAUUCCGACUUCUACUUUAUCAUGGAACUCGUUUGAGUUUGUUGGUUUGAGUUCGACUAAGAACCCCCAUCCAUUCGAGGCUUCAUUUAAGGUGAUUUGAGUCUGUUGCAGGUUGUUGUCCGAGAUUUGAGGUGCACAGAGUAAUUUUCUAUUGUUGUUUUCCAUCCCUAUUCGUGCUGCAAUUUGCUUGCAUUUUGGCUUAAGGGUCUUGUUAAACCUUCAAGUGUCGAAGAAACCGUGAUAACUCCUUUGGAGGUUCAUAUCUCACUUUGUUCUCGCUUUAGAUUCUGUGCGUGCACUUGUGAUUGAUUAUUGAUGACAUGAAUGCUAUUUGUUCCUUCUCUGUUUGUGAUUCGCUGGCUGUUUUGAUAGUUGAGAUUCAUCCGAGCCUAUCACCAUCUUAUUUACUAUCUUCCUCAAUGAUCGGUUGUUUGAAUUUAAUAUCUAAUUAACUUAGUAUCUAAUAUCUAAAUAGGUGUUGAUAUUUGCCGUGAAUCUAACAUAGUAAUGAAAG